AAAGCAAUAAACGGAUGCCUUGGGUAAAAAAGAGGAAGAAGGACGUAGCUGGCUGCGAUAAGUCUUGAUGAGAUGCCAACAAUCGCUUGGAGUCAAGAAUUUCCGAAUGGGGUAACCUAUUCUCUAUAGGAGAAUACAAAGUUGACAAUACUCGGUGAAGUGAAAUAUCUCAGUAACCGAAGGAAAAGAAAUCGUAAUGAGAUUCCCUUAGUAGUGACGAGCGAACAGGGAAGAGCCCAAACUCCAUUAGUGUAAGCUUCUAGGCGUUGCUAAUGAGAGGGUUGUAGGGUUGUUUAUGAAGAGCUAGAAAUCUUCAAAUGGAGAGAUGUUAUAUUAGGAGAAAUAUUUGGAUGAUAUACCAUAGAGGGUUAAAGUCCCGUAUCUAAAAAUAUGACACCACAUUAAACAAUACCUGAGUAAUGUCAGACACGAGAAAUCUGGCAUGAAUCUGCCCAGACCACUGGGUAAGGCUAAAUACUUUUUUACACCGAUAGCGCAGAGUACCGUGAGGGAACGGUGAAAAGAACCCCAGGUAGGGGAGUGAAAUAGAACCUGAAAUUUAUUGCUUACAAUUGAGUGGGAGCCUACGGGUGACCACGUACCUAUUGACGAAUGGGUCAGCGAGUUAUUAGUAGUAGCAAGGUUAAGGCAGUUAUAGCUGGAGCCGUAGCGAAAGCGAGUCUGAAUAGGGCGAUAGUUAUUAUUAAUAGACCCGAAGCGGUAUGAGCUAGACAUGGGCAGGUUGAAGGCAUAGGAAACUAUGCUGGAGGACCGAACGGGUUGGUGCUGCAAAACCUUCCGAUGACCUGUGUUUAGGAGUGAAAAGCUCAUCGAAUACCGUGAUAGCUGGUUCUCUCCGAAAUGCAUUUAGGUGCAGCCUGUAUUUUAAGGUCUUGAAGAGGUAGAGCUCUGGAAAGGCUAGGGGGAUCGAGAGAUCUUACCAAACCUUACUAAACUUCGAAUGCUUCAAGGAAUAAUACAGAGUGGGACUGCGGGAGCAAGUUUCGUAGUCAAAAGGAUAACAGUCCAGACUUCUGAUUAAGGUCCCUAAAGUAAUGCUAAGUGGAAAAAGAGGUGUCUUUACUUAUACAUCCAGGAGGUUUGCCUAGAAGCAGCAAUCCUUUAAAGAAAGCGUAACAGCUCACUGGACUAGUGAAGAUGCGCUGAAGAUGUAACGGGGCUAAGCAUUAUACCGAAAUCGAAGACCAGUGUAGUAAUACACUGUGUGGUAGGAGAGUGUUCUUACAGGAUGAAGCUACAUCGUGAGGUGUGGUCGACUAGUAAGAAGUAAAAAUGCUGACAUGAGUAACGCUUAUUGAUGAAAAUUCAAUAUAUCGAAACCCUAAGGAUUCCUACGCAACGUUCAUCGUCGUAGGGUUAGUCGGGACCUAAGGCUUAUCCAGAAAUGGAGAGUCGAUGGAUAACUGGUUAAUAUUCCAGUACUUAUAUAUAGAGUGAUGGGGUGACGCAUUGAGAUUUGUGAGAGCUUAUUAAGGAUUUAAGUCGAAAGAACAAGGUUUUUAUAGCGUUAGCUAUAAAGGUAGUUGCAGGAAAAUCCACAGCUAUUGAUACUGAGUUUGAUCGGGAUUCAAUUCCUCGGAAUUGGAAAUUCUCAUCGUUUUGGUGCCGAGAAAAACCUCUAAACUUAAUCUAUAUGUAACCCGUACCCAGAUCAGACACUUGUGGGGUGGUAGAGAAUACUAAGAUAAUCGAGAUAACUAAUGGGUAAGGAACUUGGCAAAUUAGCGGACGUACUUUCGAAAUAAGUCCUGUCCCGAGCAAUCGGGAUCGCAGCGAAAGAGAUGGGGGGAACUGUUUAUCAAAAACACAGCUCGCUGCUAACUCGUAAGAGGAUGUAUAGCGGGUGAUGCCUGUCCAAUGCCAGAAUGUUAUGCUCUCUUGUGCAAGCUCGAGGGUUAAGCACUGGUGAAUGACGGCCGUAACUAUGACGGUCCUAAGGUAGCGAAAUUCCUUGUCAGGUAAGUUCUGACGCGCAUGAAUGGCAUAAUCAUCCCCAUGCUGUCUUACCCUUAGACUCGGUGAAAUUACAUUCCCGGUAAAAAUGCCGGGUAGUCACAGUUAGACGGAAAGACCCUGUGAAGCUUUACUGUAGAUUGAUAUUGGAUUGUAGCAUGUUUUGCUCAGUAUAGGUGGGAGGCUUUGAUGUUUCGACUUCGGUUGGGGCGGAGCCAAUAGUGAGAUACCACCCAAAAUAUGUAGCAAUUCUAAUCCCUAGGUUGGGAGACAGUUUCAGUUGGACAGUUUACCUGGGGCGGGUGCCUCCUAAAAAGUAGCGGAGGCGUGCAAAGGUUUGCUUACUACGGAUGGAA
rnacentral:rRNA from 1 species